rnacentral:rRNA from 1 species
GACGAACGCUGGCGGCAGGCUUAACACAUGCAAGUCGAGCGCCCCGCAAGGGGAGCGGCAGACGGGUGAGUAACGCGUGGGAAUCUACCGUGCCCUAAGGAAUAGCUCCGGGAAACUGGAAUUAAUACCUUAUACGCCCUUUGGGGGAAAGAUUUAUCGGGGUAUGAUGAGCCCGCGUUGGAUUAGCUAGUUGGUGGGGUAAAGGCCUACCAAGGCGACGAUCCAUAGCUGGUCUGAGAGGAUGAUCAGCCACAUUGGGACUGAGACACGGCCCAAACUCCUACGGGAGGCAGCAGUGGGGAAUAUUGGACAAUGGGCGCAAGCCUGAUCCAGCCAUGCCGCGUGAGUGAUGAAGGCCCUAGGGUUGUAAAGCUCUUUCACCGGUGAAGAUAAUGACGGUAACCGGAGAAGAAGCCCCGGCUAACUUCGUGCCAGCAGCCGCCGUAA